rnacentral:rRNA from 1 species
AACGCGAAGAACCUUACCUGGGCUCGAAAUGUUGUGGACCGGGGUAGAAAUAUCCCUUCCCCGCAAGGGGCCGCAAUAUAGGUGCUGCAUGGCUGUCGUCAGCUCGUGUCGUGAGAUGUUGGGUUAAGUCCCGCAACGAGCGCAACCCUUAUCUUCAGUUGCUACCAUUUAGUUGAGCACUCUGACGAAACCGCCUCGGAUAACGGGGAGGAAGGUGGGGAUGACGUCAAGUCCUCAUGGCCUUUAUGUCCAGGGCUACACACGUGCUACAAUGGCCGGUACAAACCGUCGCAAACCCGCGAGGGGGAGCUAAUCGGAAAAAGCCGGCCUCAGUUCGGAUUAGAGUCUGCAACUCGACUCUAUGAAGCUGGAAUCGCUAGUAAUCGCGGAUCAGAACGCCGCGGUGAAUACGUUCCCGGGCCUUGUACACACCGGCUAC